rnacentral:misc_RNA from 1 species
GCCUCUUUGAUGCAAAGAAUCGACUCGAAAACUAACCAAAAA